rnacentral:rRNA from 1 species
UACGAAGGGGGCUAGCGUUGUUCGGAAUUACUGGGCGUAAAGCGCGCGCAGGCGGUUUUCCAAGUCAGUGGUGAAAGCCCAGAGCUCAACUCUGGAAUUGCCAUUGAAACUGGUGAACUUGAGUACGAGAGAGGUGAGUGGAAUUCCCAGUGUAGAGGUGAAAUUCGUAGAUAUUGGGAAGAACACCGGUGGCGAAGGCGGCUCACUGGCUCGUUACUGACGCUCAGGCGCGACAGCGUGGGGAUCAAACAGG